UUUUUUUUUUUUUUUUUUUGGGUCUUUUUUUCGGAGCUGGGGACCGAACCCAGGGCCUUGCACUUCCUAGGUAAGCGCUCUACCACUGAGCUAAAUCCCCAGCCCCAUGGUCAACCUUUUGACAGUGAGACAAAGUCAUUACAAAGAUAUCACCUACAGCGUUCAUGUGAAUUACACGUUUUGAUUUACAAGGGAAAAAUAUCACAAAAUAAGUGGUAAGUGAGCCACUCUUCAGAUUCUGUGUUCAGACAGAAAACAAAAAUACAAAAAACCUCAGCUCCAGGCACUGUUGCCAGGCACUGCCAAGACUCCUCCCCUCACUGCUCCUCCUGUGCAUCCUUCAGACCUCAGCUCUGUGUCACUGAUCUGCUCUCCGCACAGCAACACUUCCGGAGUGUACCUUUGCUUCUGAUGAACUAAGGGAAUGAAUGGACUCCCUAGAAGCCUCAGAGAAGGCUUCCCUGCACCUGCAGAGAAGACUGGAACAGAGAAAUGAGAGAAGACACCGGUUUCCACUGUGUUUAUUACUAAUAUAAAAAAAAUUAAAAAGAAAACAAAAUCAUUCUUAGUUCUAGCGCUCUCUCUCCUCUUGCACACAUACCUCCUGACCCACUUCCUUAGGGCCUGUUCAAAACCCAACAUGUUCACUGCUGUUUUCACAGAAAACACCCAGUGUGAGGGAAGUAAGAGGGUCAGAGAGGUGACAGACAGUACUGUUCAGGUUCCAUCCAGAGACAGGCGGAGAUUCACAAAGUCAAAUCAAAGGGCUGGUGGCCUCACAAUGACAGCCUAACUAAAACGGGUCAGGCAGGAGCUGUGUUGGGAGGCCCGUCGGAAGCUUUCCAAGACAUCAC
rnacentral:lncRNA from 1 species